UUUCUUUCACGUUUCGGAAAGCCCAGUUUAGAAAAACGAAAGCUCAUGUUGUGACUCAUUUAUUACUAAUCAGUUUAAGGCUGCAAAUCCUGCGGUGAGUUUUAUUAAUCUUGGACCAAACUGAACAUACCCCGGCUUGUGCAACACGGUUUAAAGUCUGCUUUUUCGAUGCGUGUGAACGUGUGUUAAAGCACGUAGGAGGCUUAAUUAUGAUAAAGAAAGUUUAGAAUGAGGACAGGAGGAGUUUAAAAGUGUACACACAGUUCUCAUCCAGCUGAAUUUGGACUUGAGUGUGGAGUUGGAGGGCUUUCACGGAGUAAACACUGGUAACAGACAGUUGGAAGCUUUCAAUGAGGAGAAAGGGGGACUGUUUGGGUGUAUUUUGGCAGCUGUUUUGGCGUACAGUCGCACUGGUAAUGGUGUGAAGGUGGGGGCUGCCGGCUUGGGAUUUUUGGUAAAUGUGCCGUUAUUUACGAGUCGGGUGGGCUGAGGGGGACAAUAAACUUUCAUUUCUGGGAAAGCCAUUGGAUUUUACUAGACUUUGUAGGACCUAUAAGAGUGCAAAAAAGCAAGAGUGAAAAAAAAAGAAGAGAAGGGGAACCAGAAAGUAUUUAACAAGCGCAAGAAGUGUUUCCAUAUUGGGCUUGUCACACACAACACACUAAUAAUGUCAGUUCUCUCCUGCGCUGACUGAGCUGCCAUUUGGGCCUGACGUGACACUAAUUGUGCUUACUGGAAAAACACACAAGCGGGGCUGUGUAUGUUUCUGAGCACAUGCUAAUGACAUUAAACCAAACUCCAGUCGCUUCUGGCUUGAAAGAGCGCCAUAUCACGAAAAAAGGAAAAGUUGCUGACACAUGUUUUCGGUCAAAUUACCAUAAACAUCGGGCUUGACAAGCCAUUAAGUCACAUAAUCAGCGUUGAGACUCUAUUGUUCUUAAAUGAGGAGUGAAACUGUGCCAGUGGGGUGAAAUAUUUCCACUUGUUUUCAGUUUGGUUUCUUUCGUUUGAAGGAAUAUCUCUGAAAUUAAGCGUCAGUACCUUGAAAUGAGACAUAACCCGGCGGUAGCAUGAAGAAAUUAACAUUUGGUUUCAAUCAUUUUUGAACAAGUAGCUUUUGUGUCCACCUGGAAGUUUAAAAAGCUCAAAAAUGGACUAAUUGACUUGUAAGGAAGGGAGUUGUUGGGUCUGAACCGGUAGGUGCUUCCACUUUUUGGCAGACAGGCAAUUGGACCCCUGUGUGGUAUACGGCUGCAGGACAAUCCCCAUUGUCCUGUUGGAUACAAGUGGCUGGAGCCCAGGAACUGCUCUGGACUGGAUGUUAGGACCUGGCAACAGAAAAUUACAGCUUUGGCCAGGAAAAGUCAACCAAAUGGGCUGAUUCUUCUCAUUCAGCCCGGAGGAGUCCUCACAGCUGCACUUCCUUUCAUUGCCAGGGAAGAAGACGGUCUGAAAGAGGGAGAGGAGAAAGAGAAGGCGGAGUGGGGAACAGUUGGGGGCAUUUGGACUGGACCAGCCUCAAAGAGCUUGUGGGUUGUUUUUCUUUACGGCAAAAGGCAGAAAAAAAGAAGAAGCAGCUUCGACUCAUCUUGGACAUCAGACUCUAUUUUGGGGCUUUGCUGUUAGGGCUGUGGGCAAUCACGCAAAAUCCCCCCGAGUUGUUUUCUUGCAGUGAUUAGAGUCGCUUUUGUGAAAGUACAAUCAAAGAGUUAAGAUGUAAUCUAGCCACAGCAAGAACAUUAGUCCAUACUCCUCUGAGGAAACCGUUCAGCUAUAUAGGCUCCUUGAUCUUCAUCCACAUAGCAUUGGUUUUGCUCAUUUCCUCCUCACUUCCCAUUAAAGUGAGGACGGAGGAACUUCACGAGAUCUCUCUGGACUCGUUAGGAGUCAAAGCAGGUCACUGAGAACGAAAAUAGCAGAAGUUACAAGAAUUUCUCAUCUGAGGAAGACAGGCAGAGGUGAAGUUUAACAGAUGGAUAAUCUGCCGCCGAAGGUGAAACACCUGUCGCUUCAUAGAGUUUACAUUUUACAGCUCAAAAAACGUUCAAACACCUCCAGGUCUUCUUGAGCUGCGCUUCAUAACCCCUCCUCAGCAGAUACAUCUGAAGACACAAUGAGAGUCUUCGAUUUACAAGAAUAAAGGCAAAAAAUUGUGAGAUAAAAGUUGUACAAUUUAAAAAACUUGUGAUUUUAAGUGAAUAGUUGGCAUCUUAUGAAGUUAUAUGUGAAUGUGGCUGCCUACCUUAAUUAAUUUGUCACCCUGUAAGUAAUUAAACAUGUAGAUUACAACUUUUAUCUGGUCAAUUGAAGUCUUUCUGUAUAUUUCCAUUUUUUUUUCUCGUAAAUGCGCACUAGUGCAUCUGUAUGUGCAGAAAAAAGAUAAAAUAAACACAUUUUUUUCUUUAUCCUUUAAUUUUAUACCAUUAUUCUCAUGAAUGUUCAAAUUUUUUGUGUAGAUUUACUUAAUUUGCUGAAUUUCAAUAAUAAACAGUAUUUUUCUUGUAAAUUUAAGACUUUGUUAUUGAAGUUUUCAUUAGUUUUCACUCUAAAUGUGGCCCUAAUUCUCAGUUCAAACUCACAGCACUGAAUUAUUUAUACAAAACAUUUUUUAAUUCCAUAUAGCCCUCAAUUCGAGGCCUCGUUUUUAACCAAGCUUUUGUUUUUAUUUGUUUUUAUUUCCAUGUGCUGAUGUUCUGUGCUUUGCAACUGUUUGUCAAAGCACUUUGUAAACUUCUGUUUUUAAAAGUGCAAUAAAAUUAAAGUUAUUAUUAAUAUCUUUAUAUAAUAUAUUAUAAAGAUAUUAUAGAUUCAAAACAAACAACAAUGUAGAUGCUGUAUCUGCUUUGUUUAGUAUUUGCAUUCAUGUAUGAAUGUGUACAAGUUGCUGGAAGUUUCUGCUGAUAAGCCUGAUGACUAUAAAACAUGUUAAACUGAUUUAAAUUAGAAAAACAUUUUUAAAUUAAAAAAAUGCAAAGUGAGAUUUCAGAAGAAACUGAAUUCGCUUUAAAAUGAAGAUAUGCAUACACAGAAACAGGAUACGGUUGAAAACAAUAGGCCUUAAUAUAGAAACGGGUGCUGAUAUGGAAAACUCCUUAAAAUGGAGAAACAGACUUGAUUACAAACAAUGAAACCAACUACAUGGAGGAAAAAUGUUUAAAUACAGGAGAAAUGAGAUGCAAAAGUAGAAAGCAGAACUAAAUACAGAAAUUGACCACAAUCAGAACAACACAACGAAAACCAGAAAAGAUCAGCAGUUUGAAAAACAGGACCGCAAAUGUGGAAAAUGAAACCAAAUGUAAGAACUGGCAAUAACCUACAACACAGAAGCAGCGAGCAGAUAGAGAAAUCACAGCUCCAGAUCAACAACAGAGAGAGAAAACACAGCCAGUGUGUUCCUGUAUUUGGCUGACUUGUGUUGCAUUCACAGGCAACACUUUGAGCCAGUUAUGUGUUGUCAAUUUGAAACUUAACUUGCUUUUUGCGGCAUUUUAACUAACGCGCCGCAUGUGUUGUUGAAUUGAUUUUUCUGCUUUCGCCUUGUGUAUUUUCUUGAGCUACGGUCGAGCUCCGAGGGUCCAAAUAAUGGGCCCAAAAUUUUCCAUUUUCCAUGGAAAGUAGUUUAGGAAAACAAAUCAGAAACAGUGCGACAAACCAGACAAGUCCUGCAGUCGUGCAUUCAUCAAGUAGUCUGCAGGUAACUGUCAUUUGUGGCAUUUAUUUGGCAGGCAUCAAAUUAGAGUUGCAGCAACAGUAAACACAAAGUUUUUCACAAUAAAUCAUCACACGCCUACGAUGAAGAGGAAUUCGACAUCUCCAUAUGCACUGGGUCGACUGAGGACGGCUCACAAACAACUUUUCCUCUUCUCACAGCUCUUCAUAAUACAAUCAGAAACAUGCUUGCAUAAGUUCACACGCCAUCAAAAGCUCAUGUCCAGAGUCUUUAUUUGCAAUAAGACGAGCUGUUGUCAAACACAAGCUGAAACCGUGUCAGGAGUUUGUCCUCGUCAACAGAUUAUCAAUAACCAGAGAGAAGACGCGUCCAAUUCAAUAAAUCUACAUGUGAGAAAAGUAGGCGGGGUCACGCAGACGGUUGUUUUUUUGUGCAUUGUCCAAAACCGGACACAUGGACUGUGUAAUUCUAGUCCAAGAGUGACCACACAGGGCCGGUUGUGAGGUCUGGGAGCUUUGGAGACUGGAGACAGAUGGGAGAGGGGCAGGAUUUUCUCUGGCCAGAGAAUGCUUUCCACUGUUUCUAGUCUAUACAAAGCCCAUUGAUUUUCGCCCUGUGUUGAGAGAGGAGCUGGAGGGAUAUCUGGUUUCAGUGUCCGCAGCACGGUCAUGACACCUGGACCAGGGUCAGGUCUGCCCGGUCCCUGGUGGAGACUCACAGAGCCCAAGGGAGAAGUGGGCACAAAAAUGGCUGAUUCAGCUCCAAGUGUGUACAUCUUUCUCCUUCAUAAUGUUGUUCAUAAGUUUGCCUUUCUCUUAAAUUGAAAAAGGAAGUUUCUUCAGUGCAAACACAAGAAUAGAAACUUCAAACUGACAGUCUAAGUGUCUUUUAUUGUAACACUGACAUUUCACCGACAGAAUCCUCUAAUCAGUAUGGAUCCACCUGUUACUGAGCAGAUUAUCAUGAUCGACUCGCGAGGAGGUAUGAGCAAAUUAACAGGGGUGUGUCCAGACUUUACUGGCUGGGGUGGCCCAGCACAGACUUCUGCAGGGGUGGCAGAAAGUAUGCGAGUCCAUACACUGAAAAAUCACAUUUAGUGUUGGAUUUGUGUGGAAGCACCACCUAGCUUAGCAGAGGCUACUGGGUCAAGGAAAGUACCACAGUCAAUUCUCCUAAUUGAGCUAGCUUAGCGGUGCAUGUAAACAUACUGAAUGAUGUCAGUUGUUUACUUUUCUUUGUUUGUGAAGGAGUGCAACCCCCAAUUUCCACCGCAUCCAGAAUGGCUAAGAAAAGGCCGUAACCGCCGAUCAUAGCUGAUCGUAACCGUUCAAGUUAAUGUGUCAAUUUCCACCGGCUUCUUUCCGUUCUGCUCCGGAACGCCGGACUCCGCAGCUGAUUGCAAGAGUCCUAUUCUUUCCGGAUGCCGGAGCAUGCCGGAUAAAUUCAGCACAGAUAAAUCUGUGCUGGAAAGGAAGUCGGGCACAGACACAGAAUAAAACAUUCGGCUUCUUUUCAAAAUAAAACAGUACGAACAAGUGAAAAGUUAAUAGACAGCAUUUCAUCCCAAUGACACUGUGGAUGAGAGGAUGCUGAUUUUAGAAGUCUAGAAGUAGAUUUCCUCCUCUGGAAGGACACAAUCUACUGCUUUUAUGGUUAGCCUCUGUGGCUAAUAAACAACUUAUCGCGAUUCCUGCUGUCUGAAUCCGCCACAAAAUUUGCCUCACAAACGGAUCCGGUAGGAAUUGGUGUAUGACAAAAAUCGCUGCCAUUCCAGAUCGGAGCCGUUCCAGAUGUGGUGGAAAUCUCGGGUAAAACUGUAAUUAUGAGUCAUGGGUUAUUUGAUUUGAUGCUCCCUCUUUACUUCCUCCGUUUCAUGAAUAUUUAACUCUGAUCGUCUCUUAAAUCUGACACAAUCUCAUUCUGGUAAUGAACCAUUCACCAGCUAAUGAAUAAGCCAUUGGCAUAAACUGUUAGUCAGCCUCUAAGCUCCACCCUUGUGUCAAAUCAUGGCCACUUCUAGCUCAAACAAAACCAACAUAGCGGCAAAAAUACUGAAGUCAACACUUCAAAUAGGCAGUUGGAAAACCACGGCGUGACGUCAUGGUGGCUGUGGUGUCAAUUAAUUAUACAGUCUAAGGUCUGCGAGUGCCCACGAUCGGCCAUCUCUGCGGUGACUGUCUCUUUUCUGUCACUUGAUGGUUUUGACCUAUGCCUCUUCCUCCGCGACCCCUAAUGCGCCAGUGGAAAACCAAACUCUGCCUUCCCAUGAGCCCUCCGGACAGACGGAGAGAUUGUUCCUCAGGAAACACGGGUCAGGAAGUCAGAAGAGGAAGCUGGCCUUUAUGGUUCUAAAUACAACCCUCCUCUAGAGACCGGGUGUCAGCGGAGAAUUGGACUGUAAAUCUCCUUUAAAUGCUGACCCUCUCAUAUUUCUUGUUUUGUUGCUAUUUUUGCGACUUCGCUGUUAACCAAAACAUCAUUACUCUAGUUCACUGCAAACCGGCGCUGACAAGGCCCAGAAAGUCUCAUUUCCAACACCGUGUUUGUUUUGAACUCUGAUUGUAAUGAUGUGACGUGUCAAAGAGAUUCCAACUGAUGCCGCAUCCCACCCAGAGUGAGACGGAGGGCAGUGGAAGUGAGCGGAUGGGCAUGUUUGGAGCGAUUCAUGGGAACAACAUGAGCAAGAGCAGCCGGUGGUUAGCCACUAACAAUGCUGCGGCUACUCUUAUGGACAAUUAAUCGUUUCUAGCUCUUAUUUUCUUCCCUCCUUUUUUUCCUCUUUCUCUCCCUGCCUCUGAGGCUAGCUUCACCCAGCGAGAUGACCACAGUCCUCCCAUAUGAAUUUGGCAAACAUACCAUGAGACAUGAAAGCAAGCAAUCAUGCUGAUCUGGCUGUCAAAGCUCGUACAGACAAGAACCGGAUCGCAUUAACUCGGGAUGUUGGGGAAGAGGAGAAUGUAUACAGAAACUAAACCCACGCCGUGUCGCAGCGAACGUGGGCUGAAAGAUGACAACAUAGACUCAGACUUGGCGCUACUUCACCGCUGAUUGCUCAACAAUCAGCAGCUGAUUAGCUGUCCUGUCAGGGUUUCAAAAUAAUGGCUCACAGGUUGAUAGAAAAUAGGAAGUUGAAGGUGUGUUGAGUAAUUUAUGGCUUUUAAUAGAAGUUGAACCACUGCUGACAGUAAUACAACAUGAAUCAUGCUUCUAGGGGUGAAAAGUACAUCUACGUCACAAGGAUUCAUGACUCUACAUUUGUCUCUCUUGAACCAACAGCAGCAGAAAAGACAACUUCAAUACUUAUGCUGUAGAGAAAUAAUCAUGUUUGUUACAGGGUUUUGACCAAUCAGAAUCAAGUAUUUAACAUAAGCGGGUGAUCAUCUGUAGACAUUCUAAACUAGCGCUCAUACUCUAGAGGGAAUUGUACUGAUAGGGGUACUUAAGAGAAUGACUGAGGGUGUCCAAUCAUUUACAUAUCAAUGACAUGUUCGUCGUAUGCUAGUGAGUUAGCCAAAACUGAUGUUCAGGGUUUGUAGUGAAUCAGAAAUACUGUUGGCGUUUGUGCCUCUACAGGCUCCUAACCUUUUGUCCUCUUUGGAGAAGUCAAAUACUCAAAGAAGAUGAUGGCAUAUAAGGUAAUUUUGCAGAUUUGUUAAGUUUAUUAGGUAAUGUGCUGCUACCCCCUUGUCUUGCCUUACUUCAGUUUGACUGAUUGUAUUGUUUUGUUUUUCGAGUUUGGAAAUAUUGCGAUGAUACCCUUAUCAUGAUAUCACUAUUGCGAUAGUACUACUUUAAUUGAACUAUAUUGUGGGCAGAAUAAUAAUGAGUUGAAAGUCUGGUACUGUGACAUUCCUAGUGUCGGUAUUGGAUAAAAAUUCUUAACACAAAAAACCUAGCGUACAAAAUGUUACUAGCAUCAGGUAGCUGACGUCAUCACAGUCAGUCAAAACUCCCUUAAGGGUUUGUGCUUUUUAUUUUGUAAUAAAAAUAAUCCACCUUUGGUUACUAAGUUGUUUUAUGGUAAAUCAGGGAAUAAUCUAGCAGUGCUGUGACCAAAAGUUAUGAUCUAUUUUGUCCUACUUGAAGCUCCUGUAGACUUUUUGUCUGUCUGCCUGUGGACAAAGUGGCGCCUCUUUCAUCUGCACUAGUUUUGUCUUGCACAUGUUUAAGUCGUGUUGUCUGAGAAAAUGUGUCUUUCAGCAGUGAAACGUGAAUAUCUGCUUUGGAAAAGAUAACGUGAGGUGGUUUUUUCAGAGCGCUGUAUAUCAUCUCUAAAACCUAACCCCCUUACAGUAAUUACAGGUGUUAAAAAAUUACCUCACAGUACGUGUCAUUCUUGUCAUAGGUGGCCUUGUUUGCCUGUGUAGGUCACAAAGAGCUAUCACUGUUGAUUUCAGACUGUUUCAUAACCACUUGAAAACUCCUCACAGUAGCUUUAAAGUGUUGAGCUGGCAUGGUGUGUUCAGGGAGGCAAAGGGAAUCCUACAAUAAGGAGUUUAAUGUAAACUAUUAUGUAACUUGAGUUGACAUUAAAAAAACAUACAAUGGAAUAUACGGGUUUCAGAAACUACAGAGGAGGUGUUGUUCCACUUACAGCUGCUCAAGUUCAGCGAUUGUGCAUGUGAAUUGUUUGGGUGUGUGUGGGUUUGAUUUCUUCCAAAACAAACAUUUCAGCUGGAAAUUCAACUUAAUAAGAAUUUAAAAGCAGCAGUACGUAACAGACAGCUCAGUCAAUGGUGUUUAUCAUGAACACUAUCAGCCUCCAGAGUAAACAUCAUGUAUCAGGCAGUAAAAGCGACUCGUUCUCUUUAAAGCAAACGUUUAAUGAGACUGUGGUUGAACUAAGUGGGAUGUGGUUCGACUCAGCUUGACUUUGCUGAACAACCAGUGUGUGCAUUCAUGUUUUCGUAGCUGAUAAGUCUCUUUGCUUCAUAAUAGGUUAGUAAGUAACUGUGUCAGUGGAAAAGAGUGAUUACACAAGCCUCGGGCCAGUGCUGAGUCUUCAUUCACCCUCAAAGCCACACAAGGAAAGAGUUAUGUUUGAAUGUGCUGACCUGCUCAUCUAAUCUUAGAAAUUCUCACCCUGAUUAUCUAAAUUUAUGCUUAAGGCAAACAUGGAGACACUUUAAAUACAGCAAAAAGAGAAGUGUAAAUAAGAAGAACUGAGGUAGGAGGAAAGGAAAAACUCUGCCCUCUGUUGGCCACAAGGAGAAACUACAGCAAACUGUUGCUUUAACUUCCAAUUUGUAGUGUUUUCUGUGCUUUCUUUCAUCUCCUGCUGAGUUAGAUAAAGAUUUAACAUCCAGUCAUCCCACUUAAAUGUUAUCAGUGACCUCAAGCCUCAUCCCCAUCCUCCCUUCUGAGAGCAGGAGGCAGAAAUCAAAUCUGAGGAGUGAGUGACUGCAGCUCCAGCUGAGACUGAUAGGAGAUACAAGCUGAGAAAGGAGGACCAGCCUUGACCCGAGGAGCACAAAUCCUCAGAAAUCAACUCCACUCUGUCAACAGGGAGAGGAAAAUCCUGCCUGAAGGCUGAGAUACGAAUUGUUCCUCUUAUGUUUUUGCUUUGGAAGUCAACGGGGGGACAGGAAAACCUCAUAAAUAUUACAUCCUUCGAUUUUUUUUAGAAGUUAAAGUUCAAACAAUCAGUCAGUCAACUACAUUUAACCUGUGAGUAAUUUGACAACCCUAUUAGCAAAUUUUCAAACCAAAUGUUCAACCAUUUCUGGUGCUUUUACAGAGUGAUAAGGAUUUUGGACGAAUAGAAAUAUAUGAAAACACCAUCUCUGGUUUCAGAGGGGCAUUUUGGACUAAUUUGGAUACUUGACAGGGUCUGUGGGGUCCAAAUACAACCUUAAAGCUAACCCUUUUCAGUAUUUCUUUCAAAUAUAAAAUAAAAUAGAAAAAAAUGCAAUAUUUGACAGUGGGAUGUAACAUGAUACAGUAUAGUAUAUGAUUUAAUAUGAUGCUGUAGAAAGGGGUAUGGACAUGAGAAGAUUUCUAACAUGAUCCUGUAUAGGACAUAAUACAAUACUAAAGAGGAUACAAUGCCUAAUGAUGCCAUACAGAACAAUAUGACUUCAUAUGACCCGACACAGUGAGACUAUAUGAUACGGUAAGAUAUGACAAUGCGAUAUGAUAAGAUAUGAUAUAUGAUACGAUAUGAUACGAUACGAUACAAUAUGCUAUAUGAUAUAUGAGAUGAUACAAUAUGCUACAUGCUAUACGCUAUAUGGUAUAUGAUAUGAUAUGAUACGAUGAUACGAUACGAUCUGACGAUACACUACCAUGAGGUACGAGUGAUACAGUACAAUUUAAUAUAAUUCAAUAGGAUCUGACAGAGCUUUCAAUCAUCUGGUUUGAUUUCAUAAACUGAAAAUGAUUAAAAAUUAGUUUUCUUUUUUAAGUUGAAUCAUCAAGUUACAACAAAUCCAAUCCAAGAGCUCAAUUGGAACUUUUUUGGCAAGUAAUCUAACAAAAAUAUGACAUAUGUGAGCAAUUUUAAUCAUUGCAGUAAUCUUUCGCAACUGUCCUUUUGUUGAUUUGUAAAUACCACCAGGACUCAGUGUAUCAAGGAUCUUUCAGCAAACGGAACUUCUUCAGCAUCUGUGUGACACCUUGUCAAAAUUGUGUCUGUAGCUGUUUACUGUCUACAUGUUCAAACAGGAACACACUACACUCUAUCCCCUGAGAAAGAGGCUGCAUUUCUGCCCUUUUUUUUUUUUUCUUCUUCAGUUUUUCAUUUUGGCAGGAAACAGGUGCCUCCUCCCUCCGAACCUGGAAAGAUAACUUCAUCUCACAAUAUCAGGCAGGCCCGAUGAUGCAUCUGAGAGUAUUAAAGUAAACAAGCAGAGUGUACGAGACUUCUGAGGCCAAGGUCCCGCUAAAAAAAGAAGACAUUUCCACCACAGAUGAUGGUUUUGUUCUGGAGAUCUGACCUUGGAGAGAGUUCAAACUGUACGCAUAUCUGUUUGCAUUUACUGGACUGAAAUAAACCCUGUGUUUAAUGUGUGACAUAUUGCAAGUUCUUUAGGCCACUUCACACCCUCUAUAGGUCAUUUCAUGUUGCUGAAUCCCCUCCUUCUUCCCUGCUGUAGUUAUUCCAAUUGAUGUGAUCCACUUAAUCAAUGAGUGACAGGGCCUUUGAACUGCAGACGUGAUUUCCAGCAAGUCUGUCAUCCCACCCUGUCGUCUGCGAAAACACUCUGGGGGGAGAUUACUCCACGCAGGCCUGGCUCGUAAAACUCUUUUUUAUGUUAAAACACACACCCAGGUCCAGAAAAAGUCACUUAUUGCUGAAUGUUACAUGUACUCCUUUAACAGAGAAGUAUUUCCUAAAGGUUAGAACUUAAUCUUGAGGAGAACUUAGGCUGCGUUUAAGCUCUGUAUUCUAUCUUUUCAAUCUUUCAGAGCAAAAACAACAACUUCCCGGCCUCCUCCACAGCUGAGACAAAGCUCUCCACCCCCUGUGUGGCUUCUGUGUAGGCAAAGAAGAGGAAGGGAAGAAAGGGAAUGUUUUGCCUCUCUCUCCCCUCCCCUCUUCCCCCUCUCACCUCCCCGGGGCAGCUCUGUGUAGUAAUAAACGUCCCCCAUAAAUCUCCCCCUCACGCCAUCCUCCCCUCCUCCAACUCCAGCUCCAACCUUUUUUUUUUUUUCUUUUUCUUUUUUUUUUGUUAACAGCUCCUUUUCUUCUCUCCCCCUCUCCCUCUGCUUUUCUUUUCCUCUUCUUCUCUUCUCUAUUGCAACCCAACCCUGACAUUGACUCUGCACAUGGCCGAUGGCUGCUCUGUCAUGGAUUCAGAGGGCGGGAGGGGACCACAAUAGACUUGUAUAGGUUUCACUCUGUGCAGCUUGGCUCUUUUCUAUGUGGCUGUCAUUGUGAAGGGCUGUGGUUGAAUCUGGUGAGGUCACUCAUGGAUCACAUUAAUCUCUCUUACCUGAUGGAGUGACACAUCCAGACUCAGAUUCAGCACAGGAGGGCAGCAGUAAAUGUGCAGUAGUGGAAACUGUGGGGAAAAUAAAUAAGAGAGUAGCAUUAAAUGAGGGAAUGAACGUGGACAGGAAAGAGUUAAAAUCCUUGGCUGCUUGAAUUCACCGGAAAGUCCCAGGAGUGACGUUACAGUCCAGCAAUUAAGAGUAAAUUAAUUACAGAGUAGUGUAUGGUAGCUGGAAGCCUGAGGAUAGUGGAUAGCGCCUCCCUGUAAACAACUUUAUGUACCAAACCUCUAUAGGAAAAAGCAGGAAAUUAAGCUGUAGCCUUACUUGGCCUGAGCACAUAUAGUAACUUCAUUUAUAGGCAACAGAUCUAUUUAUACAUAAAGUUAGAACACUUCAAAAGCUCUUUCAAAGACCAUGAAAUUGAUCUAAAGUGUUUAAAAAGUCACUGAAAUAGUCUGAUCACAACUCCAACUUUCCUUUAAACUAAAACCCUGCCUGUCGUAAGUGGUAGAAGAUAUAAAGCAGAGCUGUUUCCACUGUUUGAUGGCCAAAAGUAUUAAAAAAACAGUCUGUUUAGUAUUCGUACAGCGUGCAACAGUGUAGUAAUCUCAAACAAACUAACAAACCACUGCAAGUUUGUCCCC